UACGAGUGCCCUAAGCGUUAUCCGGAAUCAUUGGGCGUAAAGGGUGUGUAGGUGGUUGUGUUAGUCUUGUGUUAAAUUCUUCGGCUUAACCGGGGGCAUGCAUGGGAAACGGCACAACUAGAGGAUGCGAGAGGUAUAUGGAACUCAUGGAGUAGGGGUGAAAUCCGUUGAUAUCAUGGGGAACACCAAAAGCGAAGGCAAUAUACUGGCGCACUCCUGACACUGAGACACGAAAGCGUAGGUAGCGAAUGGG
rnacentral:rRNA from 1 species